AUACGAAGGGGGCCAGCGUUGUUCGGAAUUACUGGGCGUAAAGCGCACGUAGGCGGAUAUUUAAGUCAGGGGUGAAAUCCCGGGGCUCAACCUCGGAACUGCCUUUGAUACUGGGUAUCUUGAGUAUGGAAGAGGUAAGUGGAAUUGCGAGUGUAGAGGUGAAAUUCGUAGAUAUUCGCAGGAACACCAGUGGCGAAGGCGGCUUACUGGUCCAUUACUGACGCUGAGGUGCGAAAGCGUGGGGAGC
rnacentral:rRNA from 1 species